AUUGAACGCUGGCGGCAGGCUUAACACAUGCAAGUCGAGCGGGGUGAUGGUGCUUGCACUAUCACUUAGCGGCGAACGGGUGAGUAAUGCUUAGGAAUCUGCCUAUUAGUGGGGGACAACAUCUCGAAAGGGAUGCUAAUACCGCAUACGUCCUACGGGAGAAAGCAGGGGAUCACUUGUGACCUUGCGCUAAUAGAUGAGCCUAAGUCGGAUUAGCUAGUUGGUGGGGUAAAGGCCUACCAAGGCGACGAUCUGUAGCGGGUCUGAGAGGAUGAUCCGCCACACUGGGACUGAGACACGGCCCAGACUCCGACGGGAGGCAGCAGUGGGGAAUAUUGGACAAUGGGGGGAACCCUGAUCCAGCCAUGCCGCGUGUGUGAAGAAGGCCUUAUGGUUGUAAAGCACUUUAAGCGAGGAGGAGGCUCUUUUGGUUAAUACCCAAGACGAGUGGACGUUACUCGCAGAAUAAGCACUGGCUAACUCUGUGCCAGCAGCCGCGGUAA
rnacentral:rRNA from 1 species